AAAGGACCCAGGUGCAGCGUGGUAGAAGGAGAAAAGGACCCAGGUGCAGCGUGGUAGAAGGAGAAAAGGACCCAGGUGCAGCGUGGUAGAAGGAGAAGAGGACCCAGGUGCAGCGUGGUAGAAGGAGAAUAUGACCCAGGUGCAGCGUGGUAGAAGGAGAAAAGGACCCAGGUGCAGCGUGGUAGAAGGAGAAAAGGACCCAGGUGCAGCGUGGUAGAAGGAGAAGAGGACCCAGGUGCAGCGUGGUAGAGGAGAAAAGGACCCAGGUGCAGUGUGGUAGAAGGAGAAGAGGACCCAGGUGCAGCGUGGUAGAAGGAGAAAAGGACCCAGGUGCAGCGUGGUAGAUGGAGAAGAGGACCCAGGUGCAGCGUGAUAGAAGGAGAAAAG
ensembl:lncRNA